UCGGUCUCAAUUAUUAAACUG
ensembl:piRNA 21ur-3307 ncRNA